rnacentral:rRNA from 1 species
ACUCCUACGGGAGGCAGCAGUGGGGAAUAUUGCACAAUGGGCGCAAGCCUGAUGCAGCCAUGCCGCGUGUAUGAAGAAGGCCUUCGGGUUGUAAAGUACUUUCAGCAGUGAGGAAGGCGGGUACGGUUAAUAGCGUGCUCGUUUGACGUUAGCUGCAGAAGAAGCACCGGCUAACUCCGUGCCAGCAGCCGCGGUAAUACGGAGGGUGCGAGCGUUAAUCGGAAUUACUGGGCGUAAAGCGCAUGCAGGUGGUUUGUUAAGUCAGAUGUGAAAGCCCGGGGGCUCAACCUCGGAAUUGCAUUUGAAACUGGCAGACUAGAGUACUGUAGAGGGGGGUAGAAUUUCAGGUGUAGCGGUGAAAUGCGUAGAGAUCUGAAGGAAUACCGGUGGCGAAGGCGGCCCCCUGGACAGAUACUGACACUCAGAUGCGAAAGCGUGGGGAGCAAACAGGAUUAGAUACCCUGGUAGGACAGAG